rnacentral:snoRNA from 14 species
UGUGAAUGAUGACACCUUUUUUUCUUGCCUGAAAUUUGUGGAGGGAAAAUCUGAUUUAAUGAGUCUGACAA